UGGGCGCCAGCCGGUCGGGUCGGUCAGUCAGGGGCAAGGCAGGGCGGGGCCGCUGAGGCGGUGGGCGGGGAGAGCGGAGUGGAAGGGACGUGCGGGGUCGUCAACUGGGCGCGCUGCGCGGCGAGCAGUCUAGUCUACCUGGUACGGUUCCUCGGCAGAGGGUGCGCCAUUAGUUAGGUAGUUAGGAAGGGCGGAAGGGGCGCUAAGCGGAGGGCGCGCGUAAGAACAAAGACGGACGCGCUGGCCGCCGCUACCGACUGCGCCCGCCACCGUGCACGUCCCGCACCACCAGCUCCCUGUGCCACCGGCACCACUGCCCGCGGUUGGCCCCGUAGCCGGUGAGCCACCGGCGCGCCGAGCGCCUCGUGCCGGAGUGGCAGCACGAGUGGCGCGCCCUGCCGCUCGCGCCCCUCCGGCGGCGGCGCGGCGAGGCGCUGGCGCCCGAGGGGCAGCAGAAGGCGGCGGAGCUGCAGAGGCUGGGGCGGAGGCAGCGGCGGAAGCGGCGGACCGAGGCGCUGUGGCAGCCGCCGGAGCUGUAGGACCACUUGUUACGGCGCCACAGCAAGUUGCUCUAGCUGUGGUUGAGCCACCUCGUGCGCCUCUGCCAGGAGUUGUGGUUGAAGAUGCCCUGGUUCGACGACUGGCUCCGCGAGGACGGGGAGAAGGCCGCUAGCGGCCGGUGGUCGGCCUAAGAGUUGUAGUCGAGCGUCGAACCGGAAGAAUUGUUCCACGCGUUGGGCAGCGACUCCUCCGACGAGGACCUGCUCCUCUGGGACUGCCUCCCGUUCUAGCUCCGGUACCACAGCGUCAAGGACCGCGUCCAGUUCCUGCCCUGCACCCGCCUUUUGCCCACCGGGUUCCACACCUGCCUGAUGCGGCAGAGGUUCGACCGCCAUUUGCGGAUGUGGGCGCAGGACCGCGCGGCCGACGUCAGGCCGCCGCUCGCGCAGUCGCAGUUGACGAAGACGGGGCCCAAGUGCGCCUGGCUGUACUGGUUCCCCACCCCGUUCGCGUGGCGGCUCCUCCACCGGCUGAAGCCGCGGGCCGACCGCGACGAGGGCGGGCCGCUCGAGGGGUGGCCGUGGAAGAAGUUCACCGCGUGCGGCGUCGAGAUGAGGUUCGACACUCUCUGCCUCCUACCGUGCAUAGGCUACCACAAGCAGAUAUGCAGGGCACGCACCAGCUACCAACGACCUUAAGAACCGUGGCACGACAUGCAGGCACCACCUCAUUUAUAGAACAAAGUCAAAUCGGUAGCAACAUCGAUUCAACUACGAAGAUGGAUUCACAUGUUAUCGACUAUUUAGUCACCACAAGGUGAGCAGGGUAACGAAACCUAGAAUUGUGCCGUACCUAAGUUCGUAGCAGAGUAACGAAUCGGCAGUGAUUCUACCAUCUCCCGUCACACUCGGGCACGUCACCGUAGAAGGCCCUUUAGUUCGUCUUCGUAUCCGUGACACACACCGUUGCAGGGGAGAAGCGGUCUACCUCUUAUUAAACCUACUAGUACAGUAUCGUCCCCGGCGGAACCGAUCUUUCAUCCCGUAGUACAAGCCAAGGAACGAGGAGGCCUCUUGCGAACAUAAGGCAAACUGUAACUAAUUAUUCUCGUUGAGGUUACCCCGCGGGUAAAGC
rnacentral:rRNA from 1 species